ensembl:lncRNA
UUUAAAAACAAAGAAGAAGAAGCCGGGUUUGGGAGAACAAUCUGGCAACCCUGGCCACCAGUCUGGCGUAAACAAGUCGGGAUUUUAGGGUGUGAGUCUUACGAAUCGCCUUUCAGCCAAUCACAGCUCACAUCCUGCCCACAUGGCUGGGUUGUUUACUACAAGAACUGGAGAGAGGAACCGAGAAACCCAGGAACUGACUCAAACCGCUUUUCACAUGGAAAGGAGUGGGACUCCUGUCUUCCCAGAUGGGCCGGGAGAUUCAGGGUCGAAGAUGAAUCAACGACCUCUGACCUUGUAAAAGUGAGCCGUGAAAGGCUUCUGCAAGUGGACACGCUUCCUAUUACAAACCAAGUCCAUCGAAGUGGAAAGCUGAAACGAAUGAGUGACACGCCCACCGGUGCACGCCUUUACAGCACGCGCUCCUUCAGCAAUCCAGUGCGGGUUUUGUCGCGUGCCAGGAGUGCGCAUUUGGAAAGGGUUUCGAGUCGGAGCCGGUCAGAGCAAGUUCAGAGUGAAAAAAAAAAAGAAAGAAAGAAGGGGAGUGUGAGCUGGAGAAGACUACAAGCAGCUUUUCUCUUGGUGCAGCUGAUCUCCUGCAGGAGUAGCGAUGGAGAAGGUGCUAACAGCGACGGUGCUUCCGAGGA